GACGAACGCUGGCGGCGUGCUUAACACAUGCAAGUCGAACGAUGAAGCCUUUCGGGGUGGAUUAGUGGCGAACGGGUGAGUAACACGUGGGCAAUCUGCCCUUCACUCUGGGACAAGCCCUGGAAACGGGGUCUAAUACCGGAUAACACUCUGUCCCGCAUGGGACGGGGUUAAAAGCUCCGGCGGUGAAGGAUGAGCCCGCGGCCUAUCAGCUUGUUGGUGGGGUAAUGGCCUACCAAGGCGACGACGGGUAGCCGGCCUGAGAGGGCGACCGGCCACACUGGGACUGAGACACGGCCCAGACUCCUACGGGAGGCAGCAGUGGGGAAUAUUGCACAAUGGGCGAAAGCCUGAUGCAGCGACGCCGCGUGAGGGAUGACGGCCUUCGGGUUGUAAACCUCUUUCAGCAGGGAAGAAGCGAAAGUGACGGUACCUGCAGAAGAAGCGCCGGCUAACUACGUGCCAGCAGCCGCGGUAAUACGUAGGGCGCAAGCGUUGUCCGGAAUUAUUGGGCGUAAAGAGCUCGUAGGCGGCUUGUCACGUCGGAUGUGAAAGCCCGGGGCUUAACCCCGGGUCUGCAUUCGAUACGGGCUAGCUAGAGUGUGGUAGGGGAGAUCGGAAUUCCUGGUGUAGCGGUGAAAUGCGCAGAUAUCAGGAGGAACACCGGUGGCGAAGGCGGAUCUCUGGGCCAUUACUGACGCUGAGGAGCGAAAGCGUGGGGAGCGAACAGGAUUAGAUACCCUGGUAGUCCACGCCGUAAACGUUGGGAACUAGGUGUUGGCGACAUUCCACGUCGUCGGUGCCGC
rnacentral:rRNA from 2 species